rnacentral:snRNA from 1 species
GUUCCUUCCGGGACAUCCGAUAAAAUUGGAACGAAAUAGGAAAGAUUAGCAUAGCCCCUGCGCAGGACGACACACACAAAUUGAGAAAUGGUCCAAAUUUUU